rnacentral:rRNA from 1 species
UACGUAGGGUGCAAGCGUUAAUCGGAAUUACUGGGCGUAAAGCGUGCGCAGGCGGUUUCGCAAGUCAAGUGUGAAAGCCCCGGCUUAACCUGGGAACUGCGCUUGAAACUACGGACUCGAGUGUGGCAGAGGAAGGUGGAAUUCCACGUGUAGCGGUGAAAUGCGUAGAGAUGUGGAGGAACACCGAUGGCGAAGGCAGCCCCUGGGUCAAGAUUGACGCUCAUGCACGAAAGCGUGGGGAGCAAACAGG